UGCACAGUAACUUCUAUUUCUACGUCCUCGCGGUACUGGCCGGGGUACGAGUAACCUUAGGGAAGAUCGGGUAACCAACCCCGGUGAGAACUCUAGUCGUAUGCUGACAGGAAAGG
rnacentral:ribozyme from 1 species